GACGAACGCUGGCGGCGUGCUUAACACAUGCAAGUCGAACGGAAAGGCCCUGCUUUUGUGGGGUGCUCGAGUGGCGAACGGGUGAGUAACACGUGAGUAACCUGCCCUUGACUUUGGGAUAACUUCAGGAAACUGGGGCUAGACCAGACUGGAGACGCUGCGUCCUUGGCGGGGUUGGGAAAUUAAGGGUGGUGGGGAUGGACAGGCGGGCUAUCAGCUUGGUGGUGGGGUAGUGGCUUACCCAAGGUUUGGCGGGUAGCCGGCCUGGGAGGGUGAACGGCGCCCUUGGGACUGAGGGACGGACCAGACUCCAACGGGAGGCAGCAGUGGGGAGUAUUGCACAAUGGGCGGAAGCCUGAGGCAGCAGCGCCGCGGGUGGGAUGACGGGCUUCGGGUUGUAAAACGCUUUCGUCUGUGACGAAGCGUGAAUGACGGUAAUGGGUAAAGAAGCACCGGCUAACUACGUGC
rnacentral:rRNA from 1 species